rnacentral:lncRNA from 1 species
CCGGAUCUCUAGGAAGCCACAUCUCUAUGGUUCGUUUCUUUUCCCAGAACUGGGGAAGAGAGGCGGAACUCCUGAGCCCUUGGGUACUAGUGUUCCUUACAUCGAACAAGAACUGGCCGCUGUUUCAGACCGGAAGGGUGCAGAGAUGAAAGACAGGACCCAGGGUCUCAGGAUGCCUGUUGCCUCCUAAGAGAGUUGGACAUUUCUAUUUUGAUUUGCAUUUCAAUUGAGGUUGAUAGGGAGUGACCUUCACGUCUGAAUGACCUGGACAAGUUCAGCAACCCUAAAGGCAAACUGGCCUAGGGCCUGGGAAGUGGAGAAUGCCUAUUCCUAGGCUAACCCAAGCAUUAGAGAAGCAUCAGGCCGCCAUUCUAGACUCAACUGCUCACCUCCUCUGAUCCACUGAGGUGUCUCUGGAAAUCCUCCACCACAGCCACAGCCUCCUCACCACUCUCAGGGUGAUGCAGCUGCACCCAGG